CAUCCCACCCAUCCAAGAUGAUCAUGACCCUUAAAAAAAUAUAUCAGUCAUAUAAGCUCCGUUUCGACUAGGGACCCAACGGGAGUGUCAAAAUUGAACAUGUAGGCAAUGUUUGCCCCCGGAAGAAAACUUCCGAAGUUGAGCCUUACCGAUGAAUGGCCUCGCGUUCGGGUGUAAUACGAGCUCCAAAAGAAUAGAGCCUUUACGUUUGCAUAGCGUGGGACCCAAAACCAAUCCAACCGCGAAGCAGUGAAAACGUGCCAAGAGAGCAGAGUAGUUAAAAAGGUGGAUAGAAAGGUUAUAGAAGAAAAGUAGGUGAAAAGUGAAGACAGGCAGAAAUAGAAGAGAGUGGAAUUAAACAGUCGAGGAAAGAUAUUACCCGACAACGUUGACAACCUAACCUACAGUGUGCCGACAGUGAAAAUCUCGAAAGAUAAAACCUUCAAACGAAGGUUCCACUCUAGGGCGUGAACACCGGCUGGAAACCCCUCGAUCAGCUGAUCGGGCCUACACGUGUCGACCAAAGACGUCCCAUUAUCGAGUCCGUUUCGACCCUCGCGGUCCGAGCCCAACUCAAAAGCUCGCCGCCCGGCUGGUCUCGGAUAAACCGCCGCCACCGUCCGUUUAGUGACGGAGCAAACCGCCGCCGCCGUCCACCUAGCCACGUAACAAACCACCGUCGCCGCCCGUCCAGCGACGGAGCGCAUUCUUGUCGCCGCCGUCAGACACAAACGCACCGCUGUCUGAGGCCGCACGCCAUCUAGCAGCCGAUAGGCCACGAACGCUUACCGGCCAACGGUUCGAGGAGAGGAAUCACCCACCAGGAUCAUGCAACAAACGCGCGCAACGAGGAAAGCCCUGACUGCAGCUGCAUGUCGAAGACAGUGACGUACACAGUAAGCGAAAACCGAUACUAACCCCUCGCUAGGAAUAAACAUGUAGAAUUCCAAAACGUUCCUCAAUUAAACUGCAUGCUUGAAUGAAACGUCGAAUUGUGUAGUGGGAGGUUGGAUCAGAAACACGCUAUAUAAACCGUUUAUUUCUUUC